AACCUGGUUGAUCCUGCCAGUAGUCAUAUGCUUGUCUUAAAGAUUAAGCCAUGCAUGUCUAAGUAUAAAUAGUAUACAGUGAAACUGCGAACGGCUCAUUAAAACAGUUAUAGUUUAUUUGAUAAUUGAAUGCUACAUGGAUAACCGUGGUAAUUCUAGAGCUAAUACAUGCUGUCAAACCUGACUUUUUGAAGGGUUGUAUUUAUUAGAUAUUAAACCAAUAGCUUCGGCUGUUGUGAUGAUUCAUAAUAACUGAUCGAAGCGAGGCUAGCCUCGCUAAAUCAUUCAAGUUUCUGCCCUAUCAGCUUUCGAUGGUAGUGUAUUGGACUACCAUGGCAAUCACGGGUAACGGGGA
rnacentral:rRNA from 1 species